CACACCGCCCGUCACACCAUGGGAGUGGAUUGCACCAGAAGUGGGUGUGCUAACCGUUCGGGAGGCAGCCCCCUAAGGUGUGGUUCAUGACUGGGGUG
rnacentral:rRNA from 1 species